rnacentral:tRNA from 1 species
GCCGAAGUGGCGGAACUGGCAGACGCACGGGACUCAAAAUCCCGCGGCCCUCGCGGCCAUGUGGGUUCGACCCCCACCUUCGGCACCA